GAAGGGGGCUAGCGUUGUUCGGAAUUACUGGGCGUAAAGCGAGUGUAGGCGGUUGCCCAAGUCAGGUGUGAAAGCCUUGAGCUCAACUCAAGAAAUGCACUUGGUACUGGGUGGCUAGAGGACCGGAGAGGAUAGUGGAAUUCCCAGUGUAGUGGUGAAAUACGUAGAGAUUGGGAAGAACACCAGUGGCGAAGGCGGCUAUCUGGACGGUUACUGACGCUAAGACUCGAAAGCGUGGGGAGCAAACAGGAUUAGAUACCCUGGUAGUCCACGCCGUAAACGAUGGGUGCUAGACGUUGGCGAGCUUGCUCGUCAGUGUCGCAGCUAACGCGUUAAGCACCCCGCCUGGGGAGUACGGCCGCAAGGUUGAA
rnacentral:rRNA from 1 species